AAGAUAGAGGGGCAGACUGAAGCUGAUAACCCAAUUGCUACAUUACAAGUAAACAUGAGUAACCGCAAGAGACUCAACUAGCCUUUUAUUUCAGGAAGCAACCAAGGUGUUUUGACUGCCCAACCCAUGAAAAAUGAAAAAGAAAAUGUUCUCCCAUAGCAAGAAGGUUUUUUUGGUUUUUGUUUUUGUUUUUGUUUUAGUGGAAUAAAGGUUGAAGUUGAAGAUAUUGGCAUUC
ensembl:processed_transcript